rnacentral:rRNA from 1 species
CCUACGGGUGGCAGCAGUGAGGAAUAUUGGUCAAUGGACGAAAGUCUGAACCAGCCAUGCCGCGUGCAGGAUUACUGCCCUAUGAGUUGUAAACUGCUUUUGUAAGGGAGUAAACCCAGUCACGUGUUCCGUGUUGAAUGUACUGUAUGAAUAAGGAUCGGCUAACUCCGUGCCAGCAGCCGCGGUAAUACGGAGGAUCCGAGCGUUAUCCGGAUUUAUUGGGUUUAAAGGGUGCGUAGGUGGUUUGUUAAGUUAGUUGUGAAAUGUUGAGGCUCAACCCCGGAACUGCCACUGAUACUGUUAGGCUAGAGAACAGUUGCGGUAGGCGGAAUGUGUGGUGUAGCGGUGAAAUGCUUAGAUAUCAGACAGAACACCGAUUGCGAAGGCAGCUUACCAAACUGUAACUGACGUUGAGGCACGAAAGCGUGGGUAGCAAACAGGAUUAGAUACCCUAGUAGUC